CUCUGAUCUUGACUUUUUGGUUCACUGUGAUGUGAACGGGAUUGGAUGUAAUCUCUCUUUUUUAUCAUCUUAAUAUAAUUUUCGCCUUUAUGGAAAAAAAUCAAUAAAUUUUUAAAAUAUGAAAAAAGGGUGAACAAGAAAUUAUAUCAUAUUUACAAGAAAACAAAUAAGUUUUCAUGUGGGAAAUGAAUGUAAAAUAUGAUGUAAUUAUGUAAUAAUGAGAGGCAGGUGUUUGGACCAUGUUUCUUUGCCCAUACUCUCUUCUCAUAUCUUUCUCUUAUUGUUGUCCCAGUGUGAUUUCUUGUGACCAGAUGAUUUGUAUAACCUUUUCUUUUACAGGUUAUAACCUGAACUUUGCACAGGACCAAUUCUAAUGAUUCUUGAUCCAUUGUUUGUAGAGAAGAAAACAUCAUAAUUAGUGAUACCUUAUUUUUGUCCUCUUUCAUGUUCCAAACAUGAGCAUGAAUCAUUUGUCUGUUAACCACAUCACUGGUAACUGAGAAUGUUAGAGAUGAGACAACCUAUCACAAGUCCUUGUAAAGAAGGUGGUCUUUAUUUAUUUGACACUGGACAAAGUGCCAUAUUUGAUUCUCAACUUAGGAUCCAAAUCUGAAUAUAAUAAGGCUUAAGUAUUUAAAUGAGGAUUCAGAUAACAUGCAUUAAAAUAAAACUACUUUUGAAACAACAAGGUUGGAUGUUGGAUUUUUAAGUUUAUAUAUCCAGUUACUAACUGAUGUUUAUAUUUGUGAAAAUUCAAUAAUUUAUGGAUGAAAUAGAAAUUUUAUUUAUGAAAUAACUUAUAGAUUUAAACUAUCUUUAUUGUGUCACAUAGUAAAAUUAUUUGUUGAUUGAAUAAACUCUGUUAAGACUGCAAGUGUUAGAACUUGAAAAGGUAUAUUCACAUGAACAGUAAUGAGCUUUAGGAUUAGAUAGGGGAAAGGGUUUAAGGAGUUUCAAUCGUUGGCAUGUCAUAAAUAGUAAUGAACAAAGGUGGGAGAUUGUUAGGAUUAGAUAUGUGAAGCAACCUGUGUCGAUAUUCAUGUUCUUGCUCACCUGCCUGCACGUGCAAUUCUAGUCAGGUUUCAGUUUUCAGGCGUGGAUCCUGCUAGAUGGUAAUCUGGUAUACUAUUAGGUGUAAAAAUCAGUAUACUACGGAUAUAGCUCCUAAUAUAAUCAAGAUAUCUUUAUUUUCAUUUGUCGUCCUUCAUAGUCCUGCAUAUUUCCUUGGGAAAAUUAUGGAAAAAGCUCCUCUUAUUAGAUUUUUUUUGGAAAGUGUCCUCAUUUUUAAAAUUUUCUAAUAUCGUCAAUUUUUUUUUCCUAAUACCUCGAAAACACUUGACUUGAUAGUUAGUCGUGUACUCUUUCUUCCUUCUAUUUCCUCCGUUUUCUUAUGGUUCGAUUCAUAGGAUGAAUCAAUUUAGAUACUAUGUUAGAGAGUUUUUUUCUGGUAAUACAGGAAAACACUGACACAUUACAUAUUUUUUUCAUACAAAUUUUGUAAAAAUAAUAUUUUUAUACUAUAUUAUAGCGUUUCAACAAUAUCAGAAAAAUACUGUAACAUAGUGAAAAAAUUGUAUAACUGGACUAAUUCACCCUAUUGACCAAUCCAUAAGAAAAGGGACAGGUGACUAGGGGUAAUCCAGGUGUUAGGGGCAAAAAAAAUAAAAGAUGCUGUUAAGGAAUUUUAAAAAUGGAGGUACUUUUGGUUUUGGAAAAAAAAGUCCAAAAGGGUUUUUUUUUUUGUUGAGAAUUCAUCCUAUUUCUUUGACUUGAUGUUUCUUCACCAGCAUUAAAAUUUGCAACUACCUCAGUUCCAAAUUUGUUUUUCGAACUAAUACAAGCUUCUGAACUAUGUGUAGUAAAUAUUUUUGUAAUAGUUUCAAGAAUUUAUAUUUCAUAGUCUUUUUCAACUUAAAAGCUUUUUAUUCAAUGUAUAUGUACCCUUGAGAGUGGUCAACAUGUUUUGCAGGUGGCAGGCUAAUAACUGUGUUCUGUUCUUGUGCAUGUUGCAUGAUGUACAUGUUUGCUGGUUAGAUGCAUUGGUACAGUAUGAUUGACGUACACCGUUAUGGACCUACUUGGGAUAACUACACGCCCUAACAUAUGAUUGAUCUAAGUACAUCAACUGGCAUGACAUAGCAUGUUACGUACCACGAGACCUUGAUUGACAUAGGCACAAUGAUUGACAACUUUGAAUUGCAUUCGGUCACGUAAGUGAUCUUUUGUAAUUACAUAAGUUGUACACGGAAGUUGAUAUUUUUCAACAAGUAUUUGUAAGUACAUAAAAAAAUGAAUUUUUCAGUUACAAUGGAGGUACUGCUUUGUGUUGUUUUGAUCCACCUCAUACAUUUGUCACCAAGACUUAGUUAAUGUUGAUGAUCAAGUUCCUAUGGAUGCCUCUUUCUUAACUGGAGAAUAGAACUUAAUGGAACAUUUGAUCUUUGCUACUGAAAAAUCUGCCUUACCAUGAAUCUUUUGUCACUAGCUAUCAUGAUCCUUAUUUACUAGCACGUGGUACAUGUCUUUGUUUAUGCAUGUGAAGAUAUGUUUAUCCCUCUUUUGUUUGGUUUUUACUUUUUAGUGCUAUCGACGAAAGAAUUUGCAGAUGACAGGUUGAUUACUAAACUUCAUACUAAUAAUUUUGAUGACAUUUAUUUUAGUCACUUUAAUUGCCAAUUGUAGUGAAAGAAUCAGAAAUUGAUGUGUAAAAAUUACUUAUUUGCUACUUCCUACUUGUUUGUUAUAGAGCUAUGUUGAAAGAAGAUUGACAGCAACAAUUUAGGUUGCAUAAAAUUACAUGAUAACACAGAAAAUUAGUGUACAGCCAAACAAAGAGGAAAUUUUUUGUCGUUUGUUUAAUACACAAUGUCUAACCUAUAAAUAUAUAGGCAGACUCUACAAGCAGAAACGAAGUUGAUAGAUUUCUGAAAUGCAAUUUUUGAAGUUUGAACAAUGUCAACAUUUUACAUUUGGUGGUGACUCGUAAAUGGAAAACCAUCAAACACAAAUUUCAAUGGCCUGUGUGGUUUAAGUUGUGAACUAAAUGUGUCCAUGGUCAACUUAGCCUACACAAGUUCCUUAUAUUGUCGUCUUAUCUAGCCUUGAGGUCUUUUUUUUUUGUGUACAUACAAUGGGUCAGCUUGUAUUUUGAUUUGGAAGCUUCAUGUUGAAAAAUGUCUUAAUACUUUAUUCGAUGCAUGAUAUUUUGGUUUUCUCAUCACUCAUGGAAGUAUAUUAACUUCACCCACCAUAUAUCUUUCUCAAAAAACGUGACUAUGGAUCCUGCUAGAUGUGAAAUUUGAUACUUUCACUUACCCACAUGCACGUGUGAUUCCAGUCAGGUUUUAGGUUUCAGGCGUGGAUUCCAACUUUGUUUUUUCCAACUAAUACAAGCUUUAGACGGAAGUAAUAAAGAAUCUUUGUAAUAGUUUCAAGAAUUUAUAAUGCAUGAUUUUUCAAAAGCUUUUUAUUCAAUGUGUAUGUACCUUGUAGAGUGAUCAACAAGUUUUGUAGGUAGCACAGCUCUGAAUUGUGCUCUGUGCUUGUGCAUUUUGCAUGAUGUACAUGUUUUCUGGUUAGCUACAGAUGCACCGAUACAGUCUGAUUGAUGCACACCAUCAGGUACCUACUUGCCCUAACAUGUGAUUGAUUGGUCGAAGUACAUCAAUGGCAGGAUACCAUGUGAGACAGAGAUUGACGCAGUCAUAGCAAUUGGUACUAUGAACUGUAUUUGGUCACAUAACUGAUCUUUCUCAUGAUGUUGAUAGUUUUGAACGAGUAUUUUUAAGUAUAUAGAAAUGGAUCCAUGCUUGGUUUAGUUUGAAAUUAAAACUUAAUUUGCUUUAUUAAUGUCUACUUUAAAACUUAUUGUUAUGUUUUUAACUGAAGUUUAAAAUGCUAAAUGAAAACUUUUAACAAAAAUCAUACCUUAGUUGCAGAUAGAUCAGAGUGAAAGAGAGCUCUAAUUGAGAGGAAAGAUGCAGCCUCGUCAGAUCACUGAAUGAGAGAGAAAGAAAAAGAAAGAGAGAGGAAUCGAAGAGAUGGCAUGAAAGAGACAUUUUAAGCACCAUGACAUGAUAACUUCGAAAAAUGAAAAGAAAGCUAGAUGGCUUGGCUUCCAUGCUUUUGAGGGCUUCAGUGGAUCGAGUUGGUGCAUAAUCCAGGACUUGGUUUCAGUCUACUUGUUUGAUCUCCAGCGAUAACCCGGUUCUGGUGCAUGAAAGGAGGUAAAUCACCUUUUACAGUCACCAGAUAAUGAGCAUAGACUGGAAUGAGGUCGAUAAGGAUUACAUCAUUGAAGAAGAAUAAUGAUCAUAAAUAAGCCAUCCAAUCAAAUAUGCAUUUGUAUGAUGAUAAGGAUGGAAACAUCAAAUGGCCAAAGAUCUGAAGGAUGCAAAUAUCAUUUCCAUCGCAAAACAAAGAUGCAAAUGCCUACAGAAAAACAUGUUCAGGGGAUUCAUUGGCUGCCACUAUAUCAGAGUUUCCAGCCACAAACUCCUCAAGGGUCAGAGCAGGGAGGGAGAGAAACUCCGGAGCUCCAUCCCGGUUGUGCAAUGUGAUAAUCGUCCUCGAUCCAUCGCAUCCAAUUGCAAACAACUGAGCCAUGCUCUUGAUCAGUCGCUGCAGCGCUGCAGAUAUGUUGUGCCUCGGAAGAGGAGGAAACCCCAGCGAUCUCUUCAUCUCCAACCUCGGUAAGCUCUCUUGUACACCUUUUGAUAACAAAAAGAAGUUUCUCCUGGUAUCAUUUACUGAAAGGAACACAGAAUGGCAUUGAGAGAAAGAAUGAGAAGUUUACUUUGCGAUGAUUGAGUGAUUCUGUCGGGGCUUUCUUGUGCUGCUUUCUAUCAACCGAAAUAUCUCAUUGCCUAUUAAUGGAGAUGGAAAGGGCACAAUGGAGUGCAACAGAAGAAAGAAGGGACCUGCAGACAGAAUGGCUUAUCAUGACAUGGGGAAGUGUUUGUUGAAAUCUUUGACGAUGGAUGUCAUUGACUUGGUCAGCAAGUUAGCAGAUCUCCAUAGUCUAUAGCAGGGCAUAGACGUGUGGUUGGUUGCUACUUUACUCGUUGCUGGUUGCAGUGCCGCCUGUAGUCCUGUCUUGUGUUUCUGAGAAGCCUCCUAUGGUGUGGCAAAUAUGUGUAGCUAUUCUGUUGUGUCACUCACUGCCUCUCCCUUUUGAUCACUCAAAAUCUUAUCAAGAGUGCAAUCCAAGCAAUUCAUCCAAUCAUCCAGAACUGAUGCCAUCAUUUAGAAACAAGAUCAAGAACCUCCGAGUCAGUCAGGCGGUCACAGGAAAAAAGAAAAGAAAAAGGAAGAGAUAUGGGAGACUCCACUGUCGCUUUCUUUUGUUUGGAAUAUUGAAUGCUCUGGAGUGGACAAUGAUCAAGUACAAGUCACCAUCGGAAUCUAUAUCCAAGGAUGCUGCAGUCCUUUUGCUGGCCUUAAAAGCAAAUGGAGUUUUGAGGGCUCCAGUUAAUUCUUUUGGAGUAUGUAACUUCAAUUCUUCUCUCCAACAAAUAAUCAUCCCAUCCCAUGGAAAUUUUAUUGUGCGAGUUCCCAACACUCGAAUGUAUCUGGUAAUCAUCUGUGACCUAUUCUGUAAUCUUCACUCGGAAGCCAUCUGCUGCCAUCAGCCCCCAUCACUGUUCAGGUAUCAGUCACUGUCAUCUUCACUUCUGUUUUUUUCCUUGCCGAUUUGAGACAGAGCUUUCAAUUUGAGUUGGAUUAAACAUGGUUCAAUAUGUAGUUAAACUGUCCAAUUGUAAGUUGACACAUAAUUUUUUUUUGGACAGACUUAUCUUACCCUAAAUCCAAUCUGUUGUUAGCCAACUUUAUAAAAUAAUAUAUGGCGUCUUAAGCACUUUUUAAAUAAUUUUCAA